UGGGGAAUAUUGGACAAUGGGCGAAAGCCUGAUCCAGCCAUGCCGCGUGUGUGAAGAAGGUCUUCGGAUUGUAAAGCACUUUAAGUUGGGAGGAAGGGCAGUAAGCGAAUACCUUGCUGUUUUGACGUUACCGACAGAAUAAGCACCGGCUAACUCUGUGCCAGCAGCCGCGGUAAUACAGAGGGUGCAAGCGUUAAUCGGAAUUACUGGGCGUAAAGCGCGCGUAGGUGGUUCGUUAAGUUGAAUGUGAAAGCCCCGGGCUCAACCUGGGAACUACAUCCAAAACUGGCGAGCUAGAGUAGGGCAGAGGGUGGUGGAAUUUCCUGUGUAGCGGAGAAAUGCGUAGAUAUAGGAAGGAACACCAGUGGCGAAGGCGACCACCUGGGCUCAUACUGACACUGAGGUGCGAAAGCGUGGGGAGCAAACAGG
rnacentral:rRNA from 1 species